rnacentral:misc_RNA from 1 species
UCGUAACAAGGUUUCCGUAGGUGAACCUGCGGAAGGAUCAUUAAAGUGUUAAGCCUGCGCGCCCCGGCGCGCGGGCGAAACUCCACCCUUGACUACUAUACCACAUGUUGCUUUGGCGGGCCCGUCCUUGUGGCCGCCGGGGGCUUGCCCCUGGCCCGCGCCCGCCGGAGAAAAUACUGAACCCUUGUGAAAUUGGACGUCUGAGUUGAUGAUCAAUCAUUAAAACUUUCAACAAUGGAUCUCUUGGUUCCGGCAUCGAUGAAGAACGCAGCGAAAUGCGAUAAGUAAUGUGAAUUGCAGAAUUCCGUGAAUCAUCGAAUCUUUGAACGCACAUUGCGCCCCCUGGUAUUCCGGGGGGCAUGCCUGUCCGAGCGUCAUUGCAACCUUCAAGCGCGGCUUGUGUGUUGGGCCUCGUCCCCCGUGGACGUGCCCGAAAGGCAGUGGCGGCGUCCGUUUUGGUGCCCGAGCGUAUGGGAACUCUUAUACCGCUCUUCAGGCCCGGCGGCGCUGGUCGAACCCCCAAUUUUUUACCGGUUGACCUCGGAUCAGGUAGGGAUACCCGCUGAACCUAAGCAUAUCA